GCUGGGAUUACAGGCAUGAGCCAGCGCACCCAGCCAUGUUAUGGUUUUGAGCAAGAAGAAAGUUUGUGAGAGACAGAACGCAUUCAGCCUUGAGGCUGAAGUCAUUCUCUCGUGUGGCCCCGGGAACGCCAUCAUCCACAGAGAAGACCACUUGGCUGCUAUGAAUGGUACUUACAAAGCUGUAAAAAUGAGAAUGCCGUUGACUUGUUUUCAGCACAGAUAAAACUUAACAAAGAACAGAAAACUUAAUUAUGCUCAUCAAACAGAAUGUUAUGCCAUCCUUGGCGCUGCAAAAGAAAAACCCACAGGAUCGAGGAAGAGAAGGGGAAGAGGGGAGGGGAGAUGGAGGACGGGACGGGGCUCCAGGGGCCUCCACGGUGUGCUGAAGAUUCAGCAGUCUUAGCUGGAUGGAAAAGCAGUAAAUGCUCAAGUCUCUAUUGACAGGUGCGAAUCUAACAAACGUGAAAACUAACAAUCAUGACUGAGAGGAGGUGGGGGAGGGUAAAUGAGGGAAAUUCUCAUUUUUAAUAGUGCAGAAUCAGUAGAUACUAUUGAAGGAUGACAAAUGAAGAGGUGAUGGAAUAAGCAUAUUAACUAAAGUUAUGAUGGUGGAUAUAUUGAUUUGUUUUCUUUUGAGACGGAAUCUCACUCUCUGUUGCACUCGGUGGAGCUCUUAGAUGUGUUGACAGAGUCUAAUCGCACCCCUUUGACCUGCAAAGCUCUGAGGAGGGAGGGUUCCAACAGCCACCUGUGACCAGAGUCCCUGUCUCAGCACCCUGCAGGGUAGGUGACCUUAUGGCCGAUGAGACACAGGGAACAUUGGCUUUUCCCUCCCUGAUGAGCAGGAAGGAGCAGUUUGAGGCCAUGAUGCAAAGAACAAGGUGGCCGUGUUGUGACUGGCAGGGAGGGAGGAGCCACCAGCAGCUGAUGGGACAGAGGAGAAGGAUAAAGGAGAGGUUCUGGUGACAGUACUGGGCACUGUGCAUGGCGGGGGACUGCCUGCCUCCCAAGUUCUUGUUGUGUUGACAGAGAUGACAAAAUGUCAUCAUUGUUUAAGCCGCAGCUCACUGGGUGCUUGGCAGACCACUCCCGCAACGGGCCCAGGAGCCUGGCGGUACCAUGGCUCCUCCUAGCACAGGCGCUCGGCUCAGUCUUCCUCAUGGAAGGGCUCCAGCGGGCCCUGGUCUCACAGGGUGUCCCAGCUGGCUGUCAGGCUUGCUCCUGGGGACACCUCAGGCAAGACAGGAGAGGUGCUCUCUGCCCUCAAGCUUUCACUCGUGCUCUGGUUCUAUCGGCGAAUGUGUUGACACGUGCCACACCAUGCUGUGUGGUGUGGACCCCAUUACCUGUCGUCUUCCUAAGUUGACUGCAAACUUCAUGAGGGGAGGACAGUGGCCUGUGUGACCCAGAUCCUCAGCGGCCAGCCCUAGGAACUGCUCAUCGUCUAGGGGAGGAAACAGACUCUCGUCAGAUCCAAGCCCAGCUCCUAGGGGUGGUGAUGCUGCUAUCUAGGCAGGGCCCUCUCACACACCCCCACCCCCACCCAGCUGCGUGGCUGAGCCACGUGGCUGGUGGCACUUUGGCCCCUCCAACAGGGUCUCCUUUCUUCCAGGGCCCUGACUUCUCGUGGAGACACUGCCUCCCACAUCUCUCCUUGUAAGCAGUUUCCCCAGCCCUUCCUUGCUCCUCUCUCUCCUCUGCUGCAGUGCCUUCUCCUAAUACCGCGGGAAUGCUGAAAGAGGUCUCUGGGGAAGCAGUGCCUUGUCACCUGCAGGCCCAGCAGCCUCAACUCAAACACAUUGGCACGAAGUUGCACUUCAUUUACUCCACUUGAUUUCUGGGAUUCCAAUUCCAGUCCAGGAAGACGUGUAAACAAGGACGUUCAGAUGGUGGUUGCCCUGGAGGGUGGGUGUGGGGACAGGUAUUGAUGGCAGUGGGGCACAGGGACGCCUCCUGGGAGCUGCUGAUGUCUUUCUUCUGUCUUGGUCUGGGUGCAAUUUACAGGGGUGGACUCGGUUUGUCAAAAUUCAUCGAACUGUACUCAUAUGAUGCGUGAACUUUUUGUGCUAUAUGUAAUAUGUCAAUAGAUGGAAAGGUUUCUGUG
rnacentral:lncRNA from 1 species